rnacentral:rRNA from 1 species
UACGGAGGGUGCAAGCGUUAUCCGGAUUCACUGGGUUUAAAGGGUGCGUAGGUGGGCUGGUAAGUCAGUGGUGAAAUCUCCAGGCUUAACUUGGAAACUGCCAUUGAUACUAUCAGUCUUGAAUACCGUGGAGGUCAGCGGAAUAUGUCAUGUAGCGGUGAAAUGCUUAGAUAUGACAUAGAACACCAAUUGCGAAGGCAGCUGGCUACACGAAUAUUGACACUGAGGCACGAAAGCGUGGGGAGCAAACAGG